rnacentral:lncRNA from 1 species
CACCAAUCUGCUUCAGUUUUCUGAAAAGCAUAACACUUCUUAUCCUCCACAUUCAUGUGAGAAGAGUUAUCAAAUGAGGUCUGAUUUAAUUAAAAGUAGGUAUAAUCUCCACAAACAUAUGAGAGCCAGUCAGAAAAAAAGAGAGGAGAGGUGGAAGGAGGCACAACAAAGCCUGCUGCUUCCCCCUGCAUCUCCAGCACUGCUCUUAUAUGAAACUUCCCACUCUUCACGCUAUAGAAAAGAGUCUGAAAAGGGGCAGGAAAAUCAACCACAGUCACCUCAAGAGCACACCAGUCUUCCUGCUGUAUGGAGGAGCCUCUUUUGCCUGGGAUCAUGCAGGCAUGGCAAUACGUGCUGAGGUGUGAAUUUAGUGCUAUAUUGUCUGCAAGCUACUACAAGACACAUACUUGGUUAAGUACCUACUUUGCAGUGAUUUCUCCUAUGUAUGGAUGUACCCUGGGACUUCCAAAGGCCAUGCUGUUCCAGAUGUGCCCCUUGACCAGCCUGUAGCUCCCUGUUUGGACAAGGCUCAGAAGCUCAUGGCUUUUCCCUUCCCUGUUUCCAUGGGAAGAAAACCAGGUUGUGAAACUUGAAGAUGUGACUAAAGGGAAAGAGAGCUGAGGCUGGAAAUGUCUGAUGUGGAAGACCAAGUGCAAUGUAAGACCCUCUAUCUCCUGAGAGCAUCUGUCCUUCUCCCAUGAAGAAAAGGUACAUGAGGCAUUCAUAGAGAAAAGAGAAUGACAACAUGCAAGGAGGAGGCUGGCACUCUGACUGCUCAUAAAGAUGGCCAUGCAGUAAAAGUACCUGAUCAGAAUCAAAUGCAGCAUUGGUUUAUGAUGGCAUUCCUCCAGGCAGCAUCGGGCUACUUGCAAUCACUGAACUUCUUCUAUGGUGUGAAUGGGAUGUGUAGAUACUGCUCUGUCAGACAAUCUCCACACGCUGCAACUCUGAAAUUGAAAAAUAAAUAAAUCUGAAAUUCAGCACCAGUGCCAUGUGAACACGUUUUCUUUCAGAAGCUUUAGCAAGAGAGAUAUCUGUUCUACCCUGGAAACAUACCAUGAUCCCAGCACAGACCUGCAUGCAGCGUUCUGUGUCAAACCAAGCAUUGUUCAGAAGAACUUGUUUCGUUGUGUCAACACACAUGCUGGGGCACAGAUAGACAAGUGGAAAAUCGAAGAGGAAGGUUUUGAAGAGAGAAGAGGCAUCAUCUGGGGGAGCCCCAAGAGGAGCUGGGCAGGAGUCUACAGGACGGACUGCAGUGUAAGAGCUGGGAGCCAGUAGGAUGCCAUUCCAGCAGCUGUCGGCUAGAAAUAGUCGCCCAAGAUCUCAAGAUACUGGUGAUGGAAGUGAGUUUUGUGGAAUUCCAACCACCAAAAGAAAAAAAAAAAAAAGUGGCACAGUGGAUUUCUGAUGUUAUCUUUUCCAUAAAUCCUAAUAACUGCUAAUCAUUGGUGAGAAGACAAGAGCAAGAAUCCACAGGACAUAUUAAAACACGCAGAGGAAUGAUCUCAUUGCCUCCACCCAAAGGUAAAGCUAAGUCUUGUAAACUUCCUUGAGUACAUUAAGCAUGACAGGGAACAAGGUGAAAUGAAACCUUUCCUUUCAGGCAUGGAUCUUGCCAUUGCGUUCCUUAUUUUCAUUGUCCUCAAGACUGGAUUCCCACAGCACGCAGUACCUGGCUUUGCCACGGCUCUGUGCACAAAACUGAGACACAGUGGAGGAAAGAUGGG